rnacentral:lncRNA from 1 species
UUUGUGAGGUUUAAUUGUGUGUUUCUCUGAACUUUGGUAUGCCCCAUUUGUUUGUUUAAUUUUUCUUAUUCUUAAGUUAAGCUUGAAGGAACCAAGUGAUGCUUGUAAGGAAGGAAGCGUAGGACACUUCGAGUGGUGAUGAUAAGAAUUGGUUGUCGGCAUUUCAAGGUACACUUUAUCGCUUUCUAGAUUUAACAUGAAUAGUUUGAUGGUGUGUUGCAAAUUUCAUAUCAUAAAUUCCUUGAGAUACUUG